AAAGCAUGCGCGUGCUUACCAUGCAGUCGAACGAUGAAGCUCCAGCUUGCUGGAGUGAAUUAGUGGCGAACGGGUGAGUAACACGUGAGUAACCUACCCUUGACUCUGGGAUAAGCCUUGGAAACGAGGUCUAAUACCGGAUAGGAGCACUCAUCGCAUGGUGGGUGUUGGAAAGAAUUUCGGUCUUGGAUGGACUCGCGGCCUAUCAGCUUGUUGGUGAGGUAAUGGCUCACCAAGGCGACGACGGGUAGCCGGCCUGAGAGGGUGACCGGCCACACUGGGACUGAGACACGGCCCAGACUCCUACGGGAGGCAGCAGUGGGGAAUAUUGCACAAUGGGCGCAAGCCUGAUGCAGCGACGCCGCGUGAGGGAUGACGGCCUUCGGGUUGUAAACCUCUUUCAGUAGGGAAGAAGCGAAAGUGACGGUACCUGCAGAAGAAGCACCGGCUAACUACGUGCCAGCAGCCGCGGUAAUACGUAGGGUGCGAGCGUUAUCCGGAAUUAUUGGGCGUAAAGAGCUCGUAGGCGGUUUGUCGCGUCUGCCGUGAAAGUCCGGGGCUUAACUCCGGAUCUGCGGUGGGUACGGGCAGACUAGAGUGCAGUAGGGGAGACUGGAAUUCCUGGUGUAGCGGUGGAAUGCGCAGAUAUCAGGAGGAACACCGAUGGCGAAGGCAGGUCUCUGGGCUGUAACUGACGCUGAGGAGCGAAAGCAUGGGGAGCGAACAGGAUUAGAUACCCUGGUAGUCCAUGCCGUAAACGUUGGGCACUAGGUGUGGGGGCCAUUCCACGGUUUCCGCGCCGCAGCUAACGCAUUAAGUGCCCCGCCUGGGGAGUACGGCCGCAAGGCUAAAACUCAAAGGAAUUGACGGGGGCCCGCACAAGCGGCGGAGCAUGCGGAUUAAUUCGAUGCAACGCGAAGAACCUUACCAAGGCUUGACAUGUUCUCGAUCGCCGUAGAGAUACGGUUUCCCCUUUGGGGCGGGUUCACAGGUGGUGCAUGGUGUCGUCAGCUCGUGUCGUGAGAUGUUGGUUAAGUCCCGCAACGAGCGCAACCCCUGUUCUUAUGUUGCCAA
rnacentral:rRNA from 1 species